UACGAGGGGAGCAAGCGUUGUUCGGAUUUACUGGGCGUAAAGGGCGCGUAGGCGGUCGUGACAAGUCACUUGUGAAAUCUCCGGGCUUAACUCGGAACGGUCAAGUGAUACUGUCGGACUAGAGUACAGAAGGGGCAACUGGAAUUCUCGGUGUAGCGGUGAAAUGCGUAGAUAUCGAGAGGAACACCUGCGGCGAAGGCGGGUUGCUGGGCUGAUACUGACGCUGAUGCGCGAAAGCCCAGGGGAGCGAACGGG
rnacentral:rRNA from 1 species